rnacentral:rRNA from 1 species
UUAAUAAUUUAUAUAUAAUAUUUUUAAUAUUUAUAUAAUAUUAACAUAAUUCAUAUUACUAUAUAUUAUUAUUAGUAUAUGAAAUUUUACUUUGAGAAAAUUAGAGUGCUUAAAGCAGGCAUAUGCCUUGAAUACUCCAGCAUGGAAUAAUAUAAAAGAUUUUUAUCUUUUUUAUUGGUUCUAAGAUAAAAAUAAUGAUUAAUAGGGACAGUUGGGGGCAUUUGUAUUUAACAGUCAGAGGUGAAAUUCUUAGAUUUGUUAAAGACAAACUAGUGCGAAAGCAUUUGCCAAGGAUGUUUUCAUUAAUCAAGAACGAAAGUUAGGGGAUCGAAGACGAUCAGAUACCGUCGUAGUCUUAACCAUAAACUAUGCCAACUAGAGAUUGGAGGUUGUU